ensembl:snRNA U6 U6 spliceosomal RNA
GUGCUCACUUCAGCAACACAUAAACUAAUGUUGGAAUGCUACAGAGAAGAUUAGCAUGGCCCCUGCUCAAGGAUGACAUGCAAAUUGGUGAAGCAUUCUAUAUUUAA